AUUGAACGCUGGCGGCAGGCCUAACACAUGCAAGUCGAACGAGCGGUGGACGGGCGGGUAACGUCUGGGAAACUGCCCGAUGGAGGGGGAUAACUACUGGAAACAGUAGCUACUACCGCAUUCCAUCGGUUGUGCACAGUUGGGACUAGCUAGUAGGUGGGGUAACGGCUCCCCUAGGUGACGAUCCCUCGCUGGUCUGAGAGGAGGACCAGCCACCCUGGAAAUGAGACGCGGUCCUGACUCCUUCGGGAGGCAGCAGUGGGGAAUAUUGCACAAUGCGCGCAAGCCUGAUCCAGCCAGGCCGCGUGUAUAAAAAAUGCCUUCGGGUUGUAAAGGACUUUCAGCGAGGAGGCGUUUCUCGCAGAAGAAGCAACGGCCAACUCCGUGCCAGCAGCCGCGGUAAUUC
rnacentral:rRNA from 1 species